rfam:Pteropus alecto contig80338, whole genome shotgun sequence.
GUCUACAGCCAUGCUACCCUGAACAAGCUCGAUCCCAUCUGAUCUCAGAAGCUAAGCAGGGUCGGGUCAGGUUAGUACUUAGAUGGGAGACCAUCUAGGAAGACCAGGUGCUGUAGGCA